rnacentral:rRNA from 1 species
CCUCCGGGCGUCAGCAGUGAGGAAUAUUGGUCAAUGGGCGCGAGCCUGACCCAGCCACGUAGCGUGAAGGAUGACUGCCCUACGGGUUGUACACUUCUUUUAUCAAGGAAUAAAGUGAGGCACGUGUGCCUUUUUGUAUGUACUUUCUGAAUAAGGAUAGGCUAACUCCGUGCCAGCAGCCGCGGUAAUACGGAGGAUUCGAGCGUUAUCCGGAUUUAUUGGGUUUAAAGGGAGCGGAGAUGGGUUGUUAAGUCAGUUGUGAAAGUUUACGGCUCAACCGUAAAAUUGCAAUUGAUACUGGCAGUCUUGAGUACAGUUGAGGUAGGCGGAAUGCGUGGUGUAGCGGUGAAAUGCUUAGAUAUCACGAAGAACUCCGAUUGCGAAGGCAGCUUACUAAACUGCCACUGACAUUGAUGCUCGAAAGUGUGGGUAUCAAACAGGAUUAGAUACCCUGGUAGUC